GUUGGUGAGCAUGCUCGGUUCGUCCGAGAAGCCUUAAAACUGUGACGACACAUUCACCUUGAACCAAGGGUUCAAGGGUUACAGCCUGCGGCGGCAUCUCGGAGAUUCC
rnacentral:sRNA from 1 species